GUUCCUUUCAUCUAAGAUGCAACGCAAGAAAACAAUGACCAUGAGUUGGAAAGGCAUUGAUGAUGACAAUGACGAUGAGCACUUUUUUGAAAGCUUGGACGGUGCUUCGUCGUCCGAUGAGGAUGAGGAAUUCCAAGAAAGCCGCAUGUCCUUCUCAGCAAAUUCUCAGAGAUUCAGAAUCAUGACAAGAAAAGCGUCGAUGGCGCCAAUGGCGAUGGCGAUCCCUGACUUCGACUACAACAUAUGGAUGGCAGCACCAGGAUCGAUCACUGAACGAAGAAGACGAUUGCUUUAUGGAAUGGGCCUAAACGAGAACAAGGAAAGCUUGAGGUUGGCGAGCAUAGUGAUCGGGCGUGCAAUGACGAGGAAGUUUGAAAAUCAUGCUCCAGCUGAGCCCAGUGCGCUCGGUAAGUCCACAGAGGCUACCGUUCCUAAUACUAGGGGUGCAGCUGUUGCUGUAACUGUUGAAACUAAUGCUGCUGCUGCUACAAAUGCUGAAACUGCUGCCUCAUGUGAUCAGAAUAAAACAGAGCAUAAAACUAUAUCUGAGUCACCACCCUCACCACCGUCGGCGGAUGAGCAUAAAACAGAGCAUUCCCCUCUGCCAUUCGUUCUAGUCAGGUCACGCUCUGACGGUGACAUAGAUUGCGAUACUUAUUCCUUGCCUAGAAUGAGGAAGGAGGAACUAGUAGGUAAGGUCUCAAAGCAGCGUCUGACAAGAACAUCAUCAGAGAUCACCCUCGCUCGUCCUCGCAUGUGCCCCUACACAUACUAUGGCCCAGCCUCUGCUGCAACAAUGAAACAGGAGGCCAGUUCAGGUGCUUUAGGGGAUAACCAAUCUGGGCGCCAACAUGACCGCAAACUAACCACGGUCGUGUCAAAUACUAGAUUCGCUUCCUUCUUCCUUAUCAAGAACCUCGACACCGGAAAAGAGUUCAUUGUCACCGGAAAGGACCCUGGCAACGACGGCACAUGGAGCAGUCUGAAUGACAUACAAACAGGAAAAAAACUAACGAUGGAGGAGUUCGAGAAAUCUGUAGGGCACUCACCGAUCGUUAAAGAGCUCAUGCGACGCGGGAGAGAAAAAAAUGACGAGAGUAAGCCGAGCGCAAACUACUACCUGAACAAGAGCUUGAGAAUGAGCAAGAAAACUGGGGUUGCUCUGUUGAAGAACAUAAAGGGCGUGGCAAGCGGAUUCAUCGGCGAAAGAGAGAGAUCGGAGAGCAUUAAUGAAGUAACGCCUCCUAAUUUGCCUCCCCUACCUCCUUCUGCACCACAACCAGCAGCUAGCUCAGAUCCAAAUCAGAAGCAGAAUAAGAACAACGAAUGGGUUAGGGUGAGGCAGAGCGGGAAAACUCAUAAAGAGCUUUCAGCGUUGCACAUGUGCCAAGAAUUUCAGGCUCAUGAGGGGGGUAUUUGGAUCAUCAAGUUUAGCUGGGACGGCCGUUAUUUGGCAAGUGGCGGCGAGGAUAAGGUGAUUCACGUGUGGGAAGUGCAGGAGUGUGAGCUCAUGUCCUUGACCGCGGAGGAAGGGAAUCUCACUCCACUUCAUCCCUCGCUGCUUGCUUCGUCGGCCGCCCAAGAGGGGGCGAUGGAGGAGGAGGUGGCAGCCAAGAAAAAAGGCAAACCCGGGACUAAAAAAGAUGAUAAGGUUCCGGAGCACGUUCAUGUGCCGGAGACCGUGUUCUCCCUUUCUGAUAAACCCUUCUGCACUUUCCUAGGCCAUUCUGAAGACGUUUUGGAUUUUUCUUGGUCCAAAAGUCAGUUGCUUCUCUCGUCUUCAAUGGAUAAAACAGUGAGACUAUGGGACCUGGAAUUGAAGUCCUGCUUGAAGGUGUUCACCCAUAAUGACUAUGUAACGUGCGUACAGUUCAAUCCAAUAGACGAGGAUUAUUUCAUAAGUGGGUCCCUGGAUGCUAAGAUUAGAAUAUGGAGCAUUCCUCAACGGCAAGUCGUGGAUUGGGCCGACGUUCAUGAAAUGGUCACCGCCGUUUCUUACACUCCUGACGGUCAGGCUGCUCUUGUUGGUACACAUAAUGGGACUUGUUGUAUGUAUGGCACACAAGACUGCAAACUAAGUCAAACAAGCACAAUUGAUUUACAGCAGAGAAAGAAAGCUCCGCUGAGAAAAAUCACUGGUUUUCAGUUCGCACCGAGUAAUCCGUCAGAAGUGCUUGUCACUUCAGCUGAUGCCAGGAUUAAAAUUGUAGAAGGCACAAAAGUUGUUCAUAAGUUCCAAGGUUUCCGAAAUUCAAACAGUCAAAUCGCGGCUUCAUUCAGUCCGAGUGGAAGACACGUGAUAAGUGCGAGCGAAGAUUCUCAGGUAUACAUGUGGAAGUACGAAGAGCCUCGACAAGGAGGCAAUAACGCAAAAGCAAGAGCAUUAGUUAUGACUAGGGCUUUUGAGAGCUUCCCCUGCAAGGAUGUUUCUGUGGCAGUGCCAUGGCCUUUCACCAUCAAGGGCGAUCCCCCUCAAGCUAACAAGAAGACUUCCAAACGCCCUUCAGAUGAUAACAGCAAGAGAGGUAAUCUUCCCCCUCUUCCCAACAAGAAGGAAUCAGAUCCUUCCGCCACAGAUCAACCUAACACCGACGCCGCCGCCGAUUCACCGCCCAACAACGGCACCACGACGUUGCCGCCUCUCCCUCCCAAGAAAAAUACCACCGACGAUGAAAAUAGCUCCGAAAGUACUGAUAACAGUGAUAGUGCUAGUUGCACCGCCGCUGAAAGUGGUCCCGAUGAUCGCCAAGAAGUGGAUCCCAUGGCCAUAUCGCUAACAGAGUCGUUGGCUUCGGAUUCAGCCAGCUCGACGAGGCAAGAUGAUCCGUCUGCUAUAUCUGCUACCAAUGCUCCGACCUCUUCGAGGUCUUCGUUUCGCCUUCUAACUGAUAAUAGCCAAGCAGCCACGUCAUCAGGCUAUCCUGUAGCGUGGGGCCUGGUGAUUGCGACGGCCAGCAUAGGGGGUGAAAUUAGGUGCUAUCAGAAUUUUGGGUUGCCUAAAAGGAUCAGCAGCGGCUUCUUUUGAAUUCUCUCUUCUUGAUCUUAAUCACUUCAAAUUGGAUUCUUCAAUUUACAGGUAAUUUAUACGGAAAGAAAAUACAUGUAUGAAAGAUCUGGGGCCUUCUAAAUGAGAUUCACUUAUUUCUUUAUCGUAAUUUUCACUCGAUCGAUAUCCUGUCUUAGAAUGGAAUUCGUCAUCAUUUCCAGACACACAGAUGCGGAUGGAAGUCCAGCCCCAGUGCCAUGAAAUGUCAGAAUCAUGCGCAUCAUGAUGUCAAGUUAAUCUGAGUUUUCUCGUUGCACUGAUCUAUAUAUGUACUUUGGAUAUGCAAUUAUUCUGAUAUAUGUGUUUACAUAUAUGUAUAUGUGUCCAGUAAAGGAUCCUCAAAUGGUUGACUUGAUAGCAUAGGCAAGGAGGAAAAACUUUGUCAAUAAGGACGACUCUAAUAAAGGUUAUGCACAUUGACGCAUCAAUUCCGCAACCUCCUUGUACUUUUUCCCCCCUUUUGUUUUAUUUCUUCCCUAGAGUCUGAAGACUACCUUAUGUACAACGUAG